UCUGUGAUUUUUACUACCACCCCAAUACAAUGUAGGUCAGUGGAAUUAUGUUUGUGGAGCUCACAGCAUUUAAAAAAAUCAAGGCAGUGACUUCUUGCUGAUGUGAGCACAGUAUCUUGUUGUUGCUUCCUCUUUGUCCACAUGGACGUGAUUGGUUAGCAGUGAGUAUAUUAAGACCUGUGUGUUUCAGACUCUUCAGUUCAUCAGCCAUGGACAAAGGUGUGCUGCUGGUCCUGUUGUGUCUGCAGGCUUUCCUGCUCAUCACAGCCUUCACUUCUACUGAUGCAGCCGCUCUGGUAAAAGAUGAUCAUCAACAACAGUCUCUUGAUCUGGAAGGAACUGUAGGAAAAAGCAUAAAGUCUAAAGUUCAGAACAAGAGAGGCUGUGAACAUAGACCUGGAGGAUGUGGCCCUACAGCACCGCUGAUCUAAAAUUGACAGCUGCCGUCAGGACCUGAGCGCUCCACUCCUCAUCGAUCAUACUGUAAAUCAUCGUCCCAAGAACAGAUCGCAUCUGCAUAAAAUCAUUUUCUGCAAACAUGUAUUAUAAAUGUGAUUUUCAAUGACAGAAAAAUGGUUAAAUAAAUGCAUGAAUUAAUACAACA